rnacentral:lncRNA from 1 species
UCGUAAGAAGGCAUGCCCCCAUGAAUUUCACCUCAAUUUUCAUGCCAUUUGUGUGGAAUAAUGAUGCAUAAAGUAGAGGGACCACUUGAUAGGGAUAGGAAUUCAAUUUCCAUGGGAAAAAGCUACAAGAACCAACUUCAAAUUCGGAUUCAGCAGUCUACAUGGAUUCCAACCUUUUCUUUCAUAUCUUUUAGAAGAGACAACGUUGGAAACUUUGUGGGGCCUAUGAUGGUGAUAGGUGGCCAAAAUUUCCAUGGAAAAAUAGGCCAAAAGUUGAAGGAAAUUUCAGUGAAACUUUCAAGCAUUUUCCUCUCUCCUUCCCAUCCUUUACCCACGCAUGAACGCCUGCUGUAUUUUACAAUGGCAACUUCCACUUCUUCUUUUUUCUUUUUCUUCCUCUUAUUUUAUUCUUCUCCCUUGUCUCUUUCAAUGUACAAGCUGUUGCUUUCUCUUCCCUUCAACGUGCUACUCUUGUUUCUGCUCCCUCUUGAACGACAAACCGGAGACUAAGCAACAAAACAGAGCAAGGCGUGAACGUGACGUUACCAAAAAUUCUUGGACCCGCAUAAACAUCGACCGCCUACCACCAUGGUUUUUAUAUAUAGGUCGGAUAGUUCGAGUGCGGAAAAAACCCCAUCACCCGCACAAGAACCACACAACCGACCAAAAUCCAUAUUUAGUUCUCUCUACCGAAAAAUUUAUAAAUCCGUGUGUUGCUGUUACUGUCACACCACAGCAUAUUCCUCUGCGGUUUCGGCUCAACACCAUCAUCGAGAGGCUCAAGGCUGGUCUCUGUGUUGCUGUCCAACCACCAACAAGAGCUGCCGUUAGCUAUGAAUAGGUAAGUUAUCUACUAAACCUAUAUUAGAAGAAGGGUACAUAUACAUGCAGUCUAAUCACCCUUCUUACCCUUUCUCAUCACUUGCACUUUCUUGCACAUUAGUGGCAUUCAAUCAUACAAUAUCACAUUAAUAUCACUUAGCAAUUGAAUACUUCAGUGCGCAUACAGAUAGGGAUGCAUAUGUCAGAUCAUUGACCGUGGCCAAUUUUUAACAGAUAAUAGUCAUCCGGUAUAACCGGGCUUCGCUCACACCGUUGAGCGCGGCAACAUUUAUAUCUAGAAGGCAUUCCAAUUAAGGAGCAUCGGCCCAGCAUCCACUGCGACCGGCAUCCGUUGACUUGGGGCAUUCUCGAAUGAGCAUCGUCUGGCCCCAAAGGCACGUGACGGAAUCAUGUCGUGAAUGCAUAUGAUUGAUGUCACAUUUCAAUAAUCAAUUAUGCAUAGCAUCCACAGCAUCAACUGAGCAAUUUCAUAGCAAGAAUUCUUCGAAACAAGCAUAUACUUUUAUUCAUCCAAAUUGACGGAAAACUGCCCAAUAACACUCUCCCAAUUUUGAAGUCAGAAACUCAAUCAUAUAAUCUCGAAAAAUUCUCAAAUUCGGACAUGUGCUAGAAAACAUAUAAAAAAACAUUUUUCAUGAAGACACCGAGAUCCAGAUCCCUCUGGAUUCGGCCCAGAAAUUCUUUCUAUCCAGCACAAAAAUCAGGUCCAGUUCCAGAGAGUCUAACUCAUUGAAAUCAGUUUGGUUUUGGGUUGAAAUAUUAUCCAUUUGAUUUGAAAUUCGAUUAUGUUAUAUUAUAAGUUGUGAGGAACAACUUUCAUGAAGGAACCGAUUGGAAAUUCGACCUCUAAAGGUAGGUAACAACCCUUGGAAUCAUGGUAGGUUACGGGUUACAGAACUGUCUGAAAUACUGUUCCGAUGAUGACGUCAUUAAAAUCGUCAUAUUUUCAAUUUCUAAAAAUUCUGAGAGAAAUAUAUGUUAUUAUUUAGGAUGUCCGAACCAUUUCUUCAGAAGGAAAUUUCUUCAAAAUCGCAUCACAAAGUUAUCCACAAAAUCAGCAAAACAGUCAUGUCCUGAAAACUGUUUUAGAAAACAGCCACUGUUCUAUUCCGACUCUUCCUCCACGACAUUUGUUUUGCUCUAUAAACCCUAUCUAAACUUUUAUAUAGCAAUUAUAACAUCCCUAAGUAAUAUUCAUCUACAUAUAACUUCAUCUACAUGGUUCCUCUACAUAAAAAUCCCUAAAGAAUGUACUCAGCCCCUCUAAUCUAAGUUUAUGAGACAACUUACCUAUUCACAGCUAACGGCAGCUCUUGUUGGUGGUUGGACAGCAACAUAGAGACCAGUCUUGAGCCUCUCGGUGAUGGUGAUGAGCCGAGACCACAGAGGAAUGUGCUGUGGUGUGACGGCAACAG